rnacentral:lncRNA from 1 species
GUGGGAGCUGGCCUCAGAGACUCAGUACUCACAAGCCUGAAGACUUCAUAUUAAUGGUGAGUGUGUGGGAGAUAUCCUCAGACAUAGUCCUCCUCACCAGCCUAAAGACUCCACACUCAUUAAUGGUGAGUGUGUGGGAGCUGUCCUCAGAGACAGAGUUGCAAAGAAAAAGCCAUCUCAGACUGGCCAAUGAAACAAAAAGAUUAAGAUGGGCAAAAGAACACAGACACUGGACAGAGGAACUCUGCCUAGAAGGCCAGCAUCCCGGAGUCGCCUCCUCACUGUUGACGUUGAGACUGGUGUUUUGCAGGGGGUUAUUCCAGAGGCCACCAAGUCACUCAGCCCCGCCCUCGAGUCCAAUGCUCUCAGUGACCAGAAUACCAGGGAGGCCAGGGGAGCCAGAGGACUGUCUGUGGGAGAUGGAGGAGGUGGGCUCUGGAAGUCCUACCCAUCUUGCCCUUCACUGCCACCAUUACACUGAGUCUCCAUUUCUUCUUUAUAUGGUAACAAUAAUGUGUUUGGCUCCAAGCUCCACCCCUUCAGUGGUCUACCUUGGAGGCAGCUUCUCAUUGGACCUGACUAACCCCACCUCUCCAUAGUACCGCCUCCAGGCUCAGGCUCUGGCUCUAAGCCAUUAUGUUAAUGUUAUCAUCUUGUCCUAUCCUGACCUGUCCCAUCCUGUCCUUGUCCUAUCCCAUCCUGUCCUUUGGUUAGUCCUAUCCCAGCCUUUCCCUGACCUUGUCCUAUCCCAUCCUGUCCUUUGGUUAGUCCUGUCCCAGCCUUUCACUCUCCUUGUCCUAUCCUGUCCUUUCAUUAGUCCUGUCCCAGCCUUUCCCUGACCUUGUCCUGUCCUGUCCUUUGGUUAGUCCUGUCCCAGCCUUUCCCUGACCUUGUCCUGUCCUUUGGUUAGUCCUGUACCAGCCUUUCCCUUACCUUGUCCUAUCCUGUCCUGUCCUUUGGUUAGUCCUGUCCCAGCCUUUCCCUGACCUUGUCCUAUCCUGUCCUUUGGUUAGUCCUGUACCAGCCUUUCCCUUACCUUGUCCUAUCCUGUCCUGUCCUUUGGUUAGUCCUGUCCCAGCCUUUCACUCUCCUUGUCCUAUCCUGUCCUUUCAUUAGUCCUGUCCCAGCCUUUCCCUUACCUUGUCCUAUCCUGUCCUGUCCUUUGGUUAGUCCUGUCCCAGCCUUUCCCUGACCUUGUCCUAUCCCAUCCUGUCCUUUGGUUAGUCCUGUCC